GGGUCAGUAGGUUGGUCGUGCCACCGGUACGUACUGGUCUCACUGACUCCUCCUUCCUGAAGAACCGUAAUGCCAUUAAUUCGGUGUUGCGGGGAAACAGGACUGUUACUUUGAAAAAAUUAGAGUGUUUAAAGCAAGCUAACGCUUGAAUGCGUUAGCAUGGAAUAAUGAAAUAGGACGAUCGAUCCUAUUUUGUUGGUUUCUAGGAUUGACGUA
rnacentral:rRNA from 1 species